GUUCCCAUCCCGAACACGACCGUUAAGCCCUCCAGCGCCGAUGGUACUUGGACCGCAGGGUCCUGGGAGAGUAGGACGUUGCCAAGC
rnacentral:rRNA from 1 species